UGUUCUUAGGUCACUGGGUCACAUAAACUAUAGUGGAUUUCUGUAUGUCUUUUUUUCUUUUUUUGUCUAGAUACACAACUCACAAAUGAAAAGCAUGCAGAUGAGAAACCCAUUAAUGCUAUCGUAAUAAAUUCAGUAUCUGAAUUCAAUAUCACAGAUGGACCAGCCAAGGAAAACCCCAAUGAGAAAAAACUGUCAGAAUCCAGCACAUCACUGUCCUCCCUUGAAGAAUGCCAAACGAAUUUUUCCUACCUCCAAACUGAUACUUCAGUUCAUCACAGAGACACCGAUGAGGAGUGUGCCUCCUUUAUCCUCGCCUGUCUGUUUUGCCAGUUUUGGGACUGUCUCCUGAUGCUCCCUGGCACAUGCGAAAUGGUGUGUACCAAGGUGUGUUGCCCCUCUCACCAGUAUCACCACACCUCGGAUGAAAACCACUCUCGGAAUGAUUGCAACUGCAACUGUGACAUGGACUGCAGCCUUUUUGAGUCUUGCCACGAGACCAGCGACUGUCUGGAACUGGCCAUGGAGAUUUCAGAAAUCUGUUACCGCUAGCGCGGUGAAGUAACCACGUUCCGGCAGUCCUUUUGGCCACGGUGGUAAAUUCCAUUACAGCAAGACUGAUUUUCACGUGCUGAAAUGUAAGGACUGUACAGAUUUCUUGGAUGCUAUAGGCCAUGUUAUUCUGCACCUGUGCAGGAAAGCUAGUAUUGUCAACUUAAUGGUCUUAUUCCAAAUUUCACAACCGCACGGCUCACUGAAAAAUAAGAUUCUUGAUCACGUGUGAUGAACAAAUCUCAAAUACCUCUUAAAUCCCAUAGGUACAAGAUGUUUCUUGACUAUAAAAUAGCAUGUUAAGUCACUGUGUUAUGGCACUCAUCAGCUUGCAUCAUGGAUUCAACUUCAUUCACAAAUUCAGGACAAAUCAGUGCAUUCUUUUAGAAUUGAUAUAUACAUUAGCUCAUCUUUCUAAUGGACUCAUGCAUAAACAUUAUGCAUUGUUGGUUAUUAUUAAUAAUGUAUUGUAUAACAUCAUUUUGUAAUUAAAAAUUUAUUUACACAGUCUCUUAAAAUUCACUUAUAUGUACAGUUUAUAGGAAAGGGAAUUAAAUGAAUUAGAAACCAUGUUCCUGUAAUUACAACAGAUGUCUCUAAAGCAUCUCCAGUGAAUUUUGAAUAUGGUGUACUUGAAGAGAGUACUAUAAUUCUAGACCAUAUUAUUGUAGGUCUAUGACUAUGUCAUAACAGGUUAUUUGUAUUCUCAAUUUGUUACAAAAAGGCUCCUAGUUAUUCUAAUAAGCAUAAAUGAGAAUUAUGUGCAAGUUUCAAAAAAAGAUCUCAAUCAAUUCUUCACUUUCUUCAUUUUUAUUUGUCAGAUACAAUAAGCAACAGGAUAUUAAACAGAUUCAGCUCAUUUGACCAAACUAUUGGUUGUAUUGACACCAGAAAGAAAUGUGCAUUGUAGGUACUUAUUCAGCACGAAGCUUCUUAAUAUAGCAUGUGCUUCAGAAAUCAUGUUUUUCUGUGAUAAUUAAAGUGCUCAAUAAUUAAGUACUUCUUUUACUUAUAAUUUCUUAAGAAAAAGAUGUGAUAUGGACUGGAAAGUGAUGUUCAACUCAAAUAAGUUAAAACAAUUUGUGGUGAAAGAACAUCCAGGUUAAAGUUACUUUGGAAUCUACUUUCUGUAGGAACAAUUCUAUUGUCCUUGGGCAAAUACAUUGCCCAUUACUUUGUGCUAAACUUCCAUGAAUAUAUCUUAAUAUUUUCAUUGAAUAUAAAAAAGCAUCAUGUAUGAGUAAUCAAACAAAGAACACAAAAGUUAAAUGGAGAAUUGAGGGAAUUUGUGUAUGUGUGUGUGAUUUAGAGAAACAGCAACAAUAAAAAUCUCCAAAAUACCUGUUUUUAUCUGACUUAGGUAACUUCAGGCAAAAGCACCAUUUACUUUAUUUCUGUAGCAAACUAGCACAUUUUUCCAAUUUGAAAUAAAUUCUCCCAAACAUUGAAAACUAUUCAUCUUUUGAAAACAUUUGUAAACUGCCUCUAAAAAGGCAUUUAACCACUCUCAACUUGCUCCUGACAGGGCAGUGCAUCCACGGUUAAUGCUGGCUUCAUUCCUGUUUGAUGACCACGUUAUUCACAAACCACAGAGCAUGAAAGUGCCCCACACCUUCUGUGAAACAGUCUCUCUGCUUUUCAGAAGCUCGAAGAAACAGCUCUAUACUUGAUGCAUAGAACGUGUAGAUCAUUAGAAGGAAAAAAAAAAAAAAACAGAUUCCUAGAACAGGAAGGGAACAUACGCUGUUCUUAUGCAACCUUCUUAUAUUUCAUAGGGGAAAACAGGGGCCCUGUAAAUUGACUUAUUCAACACCACACUGAAUUAUUGGCAGUGUCAGGAACUCUAACUUGGGUUCUAAUUUUCUGACUACCUGCACUCUUCAGUUAUUAGUCCAUCUGGUGCACAGUGGUGCAGGUGUUACAAUUGUUAAAAUACUAAAACACUACCAGACUGACUCAUCAACAGUUGUUCCCUUGCACCUCCUUAAUGCUUCCUUUAUGCCCCAUCCCUCCUGGCUCCUCUCUGAGCACCUGCCCCCUUACCUGUGGUUUAGUGACUAAAGGAGGAAUACCUCAGGGACUCUGGAACCCUAUUCCUAUAAUAUAGUACUUAGUAUCAUUGGUCAGGCUAUGUCAUAUUGGUGUUAAAUAUUUCAGCCAUCAUUCCCUUAUUUUUUCUACUCUACAUACUCUCAAAUUAUGCAAAGAUUGUGCAUUUCAAAUGUGAAUGGAAUGCUUGUCAAUUAAAGACAUAAAAAUCAUCAGGUCUUAUGUGAUAAUGUGGUCAGAAUAUUACAAGAUCUUUCUGUGGCCUUGCUUUCCACGGUUUGUUAACUUUGUUCCUCACUUUCAGAAUUCACCAUGCUAUAACAGAAAGGGUCGGUUAUACAAAGUGUGAAAUUUCUUUUCUUUAUAACCAAUAAUAAAACAUCAUCCUUUUUGCAAACA